rnacentral:rRNA from 1 species
AGAUUGAACGCUGGCGGCAGGCCUAACACAUGCAAGUCGAGCGGCAGCACGGCACUUGUGCCUGGUGGCGAGCGGCGGACGGGUGAGUAAUGCCUAGGAAUCUGCCUGAUAGGUGGGGAUAACGCUCGGAAACGGCGCUAAUACCGCAUACGCCUACGGGAGAAAGCAGGGACCUUCGGGCCUUGCGCUAUCAGAUGAGCCUAGGUCGGAUUAGCUAGUUGGUGGGUAAUGGCUACACCAAGGCGACGAUCCGUAACUGGUCUGAGAGGAUGAUCAGUCACACUGGAACUGAGACGUACGGUCCAGUACUCCGUACGGGAGGCAGCUAGGUGGGGAAUUAGUUGGACCAAGUGGGUACGAAACGCCGUAGAUCCCAGCCAGUCGCCGGUCGUGUAGUAGAAGUAAGGUACUUCGGAAUUG